CCUACGGGGGGCAGCAGUCGGGAAUAUUGCGCAAUGGAGGAAACUCUGACGCAGUGACGCCGCGUGCAGGAAGAAGGUUUUCGGAUUGUAAACUGCUUUAGACAGGGAAGAAAGAAAUGACGGUACCUGUAGAAUAAGCCCCGGCUAACUACGUGCCAGCAGCCGCGGUAAUACGUAGGGGGCAAGCGUUAUCCGGAUUUACUGGGUGUAAAGGGGGCGCAGACGGCCAUGGCAAGCCCGGUGUGAAAGGCAGGGGCAUAACCCCUGGACUGCACUGGGAACUGUCAGGCUGGAGUGCCGGAGGG
rnacentral:rRNA from 1 species